AGAGUUUGAUCCUGGCUCAGAUUGAACGCUGGCGGCAGGCCUAACACAUGCAAGUCGAGCGAGAAAGGCCUUCGGGCUGAGUACAGCGGCGGACGGGUGAGUAACGCGUAGGAAUCUACCUGGUAGUGGGGGACAACAUGGGGAAACUCAUGCUAAUACCGCAUACGCCCUAUGGGGGAAAGCGGGGGACCUUCGGGCCUCGCGCUAUCAGAUGAGCCUGCGUAGGAUUAGCUUGUUAGUGAGGUAAAGGCUCACCAAGGCGACGAUCCUUAGCUGGUCUGAGAGGAUGAUCAGCCACACUGGGACUGAGACACGGCCCAGACUCCUACGGGAGGCAGCAGUGGGGAAUAUUGCGCAAUGGGCGAAAGCCUGACGCAGCCAUGCCGCGUGUGUGAAGAAGGCCUUCGGGUUGUAAAGCACUUUCAAUUGGGAAGAAAGGUUGCGUGUUAAUAGCACGUAGCUGUGACGUUACCUUUAGAAGAAGCACCGGCUAACUCCGUGCCAGCAGCCGCGGUAAUACGGAGGGUGCGAGCGUUAAUCGGAAUUACUGGGCGUAAAGCGCGCGUAGGCGGUUUGUUAAGUCGGAUGUGAAAGCCCCGGGCUCAACCUGGGAAUUGCAUUCGAUACUGGCCGACUAGAGUACGAGAGAGGGAGGUAGAAUUCCACGUGUAGCGGUGAAAUGCGUAGAUAUGUGGAGGAAUACCGGUGGCGAAGGCGGCCUCCUGGCUCGAUACUGACGCUGAGGUGCGAAAGCGUGGGUAGCAAACAGGAUUAGAUACCCUGGUAGUCCACGCCGUAAACGAUGUCUACUAGCCGUUGGGAGACUUGAUUUCU
rnacentral:rRNA from 1 species